rnacentral:rRNA from 1 species
UACGAGGGCAGGGCUAGUGUUCGGUGAAUUACUGGGCGUAAAGCGCGCGUAGGCGGCUUUGUAAGUUAGAGGUGAAAGCCCGGAGCUCAACUCCGGAACUGCCUUUAAGACUGCAUCGCUAGAAUUGUGGAGAGGUAAGUGGAAUUCCGAGUGUAGAGGUGAAAUUCGUAGAUAUUCGGAAGAACACCAGUGGCGAAGGCGACUUACUGGACACAUAUUGACGCUGAGGUGCGAAAGCGUGGGGGAGCAAACAGG